AGGGAAUUAGUUUAAUGGUAAAAUAUUUGACUCCAAAUCAAAUGAUAAGUGUCCGAUUCAUUUAUUCCCUGCCA
rnacentral:tRNA from 1 species